AACGCGAAGAACCUUACCUGGGCUUGAACCGCACAGGACCAGCUCCAGAAAUGGGGCCUUCCCGCAAGGGACCUGUGUAGAGGUGCUGCAUGGCUGUCGUCAGCUCGUGCCGUGAGGUGUUGGGUUAAGUCCCGCAACGAGCGCAACCCUUACUCAUAGUUGCUACCCGCAAGGGAGAACUCUAUGAGGACUGCUCCGGAUAACGGAGAGGAAGGUGGGGAUGAGGUCAAGUCAGCAUGGCCUUUAUGUCCAGGGCUACACACGUGUUACAAUGCGCGCCACAAAGCGUUGCAAACCCGCGAGGGGGAGCUAAUCGCAAAAAAGCGCGCUCAGUUCGGAUUGCAGUCUGCAACUCGACUGCAUGAAGCCGGAAUCGCUAGUAAUGGCGCAUCAGAACGGCGCCGUGAAUACGUUCCCGGGCCUUGUACACACCGAGACGUA
rnacentral:rRNA from 1 species